GAGGUGACCUGGCAAUGCUCCUCCAGGGCACUCUGGGUAUGCUGGCUCCUGCGAUCUCUCCAAGUGCGGGAGACUCGAUUGCAUGGUCUGCGAUAGUGGGGAUAGCAUUUGAGCUUUCCUUU
rnacentral:snRNA from 1 species